rnacentral:tRNA from 2 species
GCCGGCAUAGCACAGUGGUAGUGCAGCGGUUUUGUAAACCGAAGGUCGGGAGUUCAAAUCUCUCUGCCGGCACCA